CAGUAGCCACGGUAAUACGUAGGGUGCAAGCGUUAAUCGGAAUUACUGGGCGUAAAGCGUGCGCAGGCGGUUAUAUAAGACAGAUGUGAAAUCCCCGGGCUCAACCUGGGACCUGCAUUUGUGACUGUAUAGCUAGAGUACGGUAGAGGGGGAUGGAAUUCUGCGUGUAGCAGUGAAAUGCGUAGAUAUGCGGAGGAACACCGAUGGCGAAGGCAAUCCCCUGGACCUGUACUGACGCUCAUGCACGAAAGCGUGGGGAGCGAACAGGAUUAGAGACCCCUGUAGUCCCUGUCUCUUAUAC
rnacentral:rRNA from 1 species